rnacentral:rRNA from 1 species
GUCCCGCAACGAGCGCAACCCUUAAGCUUAGUUGCCAUCAUUAAGUUGGGCACUCUAAGUUGACUGCCGGUGACAAACCGGAGGAAGGUGGGGAUGACGUCAAAUCAUCAUGCCCCUUAUGAUUUGGGCUACACACGUGCUACAAUGGACAAUACAAAGGGCAGCGAAACCGCGAGGUCAAGCAAAUCCCAUAAAGUUGUUCUCAGUUCGGAUUGUAGUCUGCAACUCGACUACAUGAAGCUGGAAUCGCUAGUAAUCGUAGAUCAGCAUGCUACGGUGAAUACGUUCCCGGGUCUUGUACACACCGCCCGUCACACCACGAGAGUUUGUAACACCCGAAGCCGGUGGAGUAACCAUUUGGAGCUAGCCGUCGAAGGUGGGACAAAUGAUUGGGGUGAAGUCGUAACAAGGUAGCCGUAUCGGAAGGUGCGGCUGGAUCACCUCCUUUCUAAGGA